rnacentral:tRNA from 1 species
GAGGGUAUAGCUCAGUGGUAGAGCACAUGCUUAACAUGUAUAAGGUCCUGGGUUCAAUCCCCAGUGCCUCCA